rnacentral:rRNA from 1 species
GUUAUAGGAUAUGAAUAAGGCAUGUGGUGGAUGCCUUGGCGGAGGCGACGAAACGUGAUAGCCUAAGAUACCGGGGAGUGGCAAAGAAAGCAAAUCCGGAGAUUCCCUGAAUGGGGAAACCCGGCGAAAGGUAUCGCAUGAUGAAUACAAAUGCGAGGCGAAGAGGUGAACUGAAACCUCAGUUGAGGAAAAGACAUCAACCGAGAUUCCGAAAGUAGUGGCGAGCGAAAUCGGAAGAGCCUGUUAGUGAUAGCACACAAGACUUAACGGAACGGCUGGAAAGGCCCGCCAUAGGAGGUGACAGCCCCUGUACGUGAAAAAAAGACGUUCUGGGUGGAUCCUGACGAAAAGUAGGGCGGGAACACGAGAAAUUCCUGUCGGAAGAUGGGGGGACCAUCCCCAAGGCUAAAUACUCUCAGUGACCGAUAGUGAACCAGUACCGUGAGGGAAAGGCGAAAAGAACCCGGAGGGGGAGUGAAAAGAUCCUGAAACCGCAUGUUUACAAAAGUCGGAGCCCGUUAACGGGUGACGGCGUACCUUUUGUAGAAUGGAACCGGCGACUUACGAUUCAGUGCAAGGUUAACCAGAAGAGGGGAGCCGUAGAGAAAUCGAGUCCGAAUAGGGCGUCCAGUCGCUGGUCGUAGACCCGAAACCAGGUGAUCUAUCCAUGUCCAGGAUGAAGGUGCAGGUAACACUGAAUGGAGGUCCGAACCGACGCAGUGUUGAAAAGUGCAGGGGAUGAGGUGUGGGUAGGGGUGAAAUGCCAAACGAACCUGGAAAUAGCUGGUUCUCUCCGAAAACUAUUUAGGGUAGUGCCUCAGGUAUUAGUCUUGGGGUAGAGCACUGUUUUUGGACUAGGGGGUCAUGGCGGGUUACCAAACCAAGGCAAACUCCGAAUACCAAUGACUUAUCCUUGGGAGACAGAGCACCGGGUGAUAACGAUCCCGAGUCGAAAGGGAAACAACCCAGACCGCCAGCUAAGGUCCCUAAAAUACGUUAAGUGGGAAAGGAUGUGGGAAGGCUAAAACAACCAGGAUGUUGGCUUUAGAAGCAGCCACCAUUUAAAGAAAGCGUAAUAGCUCACUGGUCGAGUCGUCCUGCGCGGAAAAUGUACGGGGCUAAACGUAGUCACCGAAGCUGCGGGACUGUUUUCGAACAGUGUGGUAGGAGAGCGUUCUAAAGGCUGUGAAGGCCAGUUGUAAAGCGACUGGAGGGAGCGCUUAGAAGUGAGAAUGCCGGACAUGAGUAGCGAAAGAGGGGUGAAAAGCCCCCUCCGCCGAAUGCCUAAGGUUUCCUGAGGAAGUUCGUCCGGCGUAGGGUGAGUCGGGACCUAAGGCGAGGCCGAAAGGCGUAGGCGAUGGAAAACAGGUUGAUAAUAUUCCCACCUCCGACCAUUUGAGCAAUGGGGGGGACGGAGGAGGAUAGGGGGUCAUCCGGGUAUUGGAUAUCCCGCGUCCAAGGAGUUAGGCUGGGAAAUAGGCAAAUCCGGUUUCCCAUACCGAGGCUGAGCUGUGAUGGCGAGAAAUAUAGUAGCGAAGUUCAUCUGAACGAGGUUCCAAGAAAAGCCUCUAGCGAGGUGAGAGGUGACCGUACCGCAAACCGACACUGGUAGGCGAGGAGAGAAUCCUAAGGUGAUCGAGAGAACUCUCGUUAAGGAACUCGGCAAAUUGACACCGUAACUUCGGAAGAAGGGGUGCCCUGUUAGUGUGCAAGCCCGAACAACGGAGCAUGAACGGGUGCAAAAAUCGGUGGCAGGCGACUGUUUAUUAAAAACACAGCACUCUGCAAACACGAAAGUGGACGUAUAGGGUGUGACGCCUGCCCGGUGCUGGAAGAUUAAAUGAGCGGGGGCGCAAGCGAAGGUUGAUUGAAGUCCCAGUAAACGGCGGCCGUAACUAUAACGGUCCUAAGGUAGCGAAAUUCCUUGUCGGGUAAGUUCCGACCUGCAUGAAUGGCGUAACGAUGGGCACUGUCUCCUCCUGAGACUCUCCGGUGAAAUUGAAGUGUUUGUGAUGAUGCAGGUUCCCCGCGGAAGGACGGAAAGACCCCAUGAACCUUUACUGUAGCUUUGUAUUGGACUUUGAACAGAUUGUGUAGGAUAGGUGGGAGGCUUUGAAACCGGUCGCCAGCUUCGCAUGGAGCCAACGUUGAAAUACCACCCUGGUGUGUUUGAGGUUCUAAACCUAGGUCCAUUAUCUGGCGGGGGGACAGUGCAUGGUGGGCAGUUUGACUGGGGCGGUCGCCUCCCAAAGCGUAACGGAGAGAGUUCGAAGGUUCCCUAGAAUGGUUGGAAAUCGUGACGAUAGUGCAAAGGCAUAAGGGAGCUUAACUGCGAGACUGACAAGUCGAGCAGGGACGAAAGCAGGACUUAGUGAUCCGGUGGUUCUGCAUGGAAGGGCCAUCGCUCAACGGAUAAAAAGCUACCUGGGGAUAACAGGCUUAUACCGCCCAAGAGUCCACAUCGACGGCGGGUUUGGCACCUCGAUGUCGGCUCAUCUCAUCCUGGGGCUGUAGUCGGUCCCAAAGGGUUGGGCUGUUCGCCAUUAAAAGAGGUACGUGAGCUGGGUUUAAAACGUCGUGAGACAGUUCGGUCCCUAUCCGUCGUGGGCGCUGCAAAUUUGAGGAAGCCUGUCCUUAGUACGAGAGGACCGGGAUGGACACACCUCUGGUGUAUCGGUUGUUCACGCCAGUGGCAUCGCUGGGUAGCUAAGUGUGGAAGAGAUAACCGCUGAAAGCAUCUAAGCGGGAAACUCGUUUCAAGAUGAGAUCUGCCGGGGCCUCGAGCCCCCUGAAGAGUCGUUCUAGACCAGGACGUUGAUAGGUCGGGUGUGGAAGCGCAGUAAUGCGUUAAGCUAACCGAUACUAAUUGCUCGUGCGGCUUGACCCUAUAACUUUG